rnacentral:rRNA from 1 species
GACGAACGCUGGCGGCGUGCCUAACACAUGCAAGUCGGACGGAAAGGCCCUGCUUUUGUGGGGUGCUCGAGUGGCGAACGGGGGAGUAACACGUGAGUAACCUGCCCUUGACUUUGGGAUAACUUCAGGAAACUGGGGCUAAUACCGGAUAGGAGCUCCUGCUGCAUGGUGGGGGUUGGAAAGUUUCGGCGGUUGGGGAUGGACUCGCGGCUUAUCAGCUUGUUGGUGGGGUAGUGGCUUACCAAGGCUUUGACGGGUGGCCGGCCUGAGAGGGUGGACGGCCACAUUGGGACUGCGAUACGGCCCAGACUGCAACGGGAGGCAGCGGUGGGGAAUAUUGCACAAUGGGCGGAAGCCGGAUGCAGCAACGCCGCGUGCGGGAUGACGGCCUUCGGGUUGUAAACCGCUGUCGCCUGUGACGAAGCGUGAGUGACGGUAAUGGGUAAAGAAGCACCGGCUAACUACGUG